rnacentral:rRNA from 1 species
CCAGACUCCUACGGGAGGCAGCAGUGGGGAAUAUUGCACAAUGGGGGGAACCCUGAUGCAGCGACGCCGCGUGGGUGAAGGAGUAUUUCGGUAUGUAAAGCCCUAUCAGCAGGGAAGAACAAUGACGGUACCUGACUAAGAAGCACCGGCUAAAUACGUGCCAGCAGCCGCGGUAAUACGUAUGGUGCAAGCGUUAUCCGGAUUUACUGGGUGUAAAGGGAGCGUAGACGGCGACGCAAGUCUGGAGUGAAAGCCCGGGGCCCAACCCCGGGACUGCUCUGGAAACUGCGGCGCUGGAGUACGGGAGGGGCAGGCGGAAUUCCUGGUGUAGCGGUGAAAUGCGUAGAUAUCAGGAGGAACACCGGCGGCGAAGGCGGCCUGCUGGACCGUGACUGACGUUGAGGCUCGAAAGCGUGGGGAGCGAACAGGAUUAGAUACCCCUGUA